rnacentral:rRNA from 1 species
GACGAACGCUGGCGGCGUGCUUAACACAGUGCGAAGUCGAACGGUGACGAGGAGCUUGCUCCUCCUGAUCAGUGGCGAACGGGUGAGUAACACGUGAGCAACCUGCCCCAGGACUCUGGGAUAACAGUUGGAAACAGCUGCUAAUACCGGAUACGAGACGGAGAGGCAUCUCUACCGUCUGGAAAGUUUUUCGGUCUGGGAUGGACUCGCGGCCUAUCAGCUAGUUGGUGAGGUAAUGGCUCACCAAGGCGACGACGGGGUAGCCGGCCUGAGAGGGCGACCGGCCACACUGGGACUGAGACACGGCCCAGACUCCUACGGGAGGCAGCAGUGGGGAAUAUUGCACAAUGGGCGAAAGCCUGAUGCAGCGACGCCGCGUGAGGGAUGACGGCCUUCGGGUUGUAAACCUCUUUCAGCAGGGAAGAAGCGAAAGUGACGGUACCUGCAGAAGAAGCACCGGCUAACUACGUG